rnacentral:rRNA from 1 species
CAAUAGCGUAUAUUUAAGUUGUUGCAGUUAAAAAGCUCGUAGUUGGAUUUCGGGUGGGACGCAGCGGUCUCGCAUUGCGUUUGUACUGCUGCAGCCCUCCUUCUUGCCGGGGGCGGCCUCUCGGACUUCACUGUCUGGGGGUCAGAAUCGGCGAUGUUACUUUGAGUAAAUUAGAGUGUUCAAAGCAAGCUUACGCUCUGAAUAUAAUAGCAUGGGAUAACACGACAGGACUCUGGCCUAUCGUGUUGGUCUAUAGGACCGGAGUAAUGAUUAAGAGGGACAGUCGGGGGCAUUCGUAUUCCGUUGUCAGAGGUGAAAUUCUUGGAUUUACGGAAGACGAACAUCUGCGAAAGCAUUUGCCAAGGAUGUUUUCAUUGA